rnacentral:rRNA from 1 species
GUGCACGCUGGCGGUAGGCCUAACCCAUGCAAGUCGCACGGCAGCACAGUAAGAGCUUGCUCUUACGGGUGGCGAGUGGCGGACGGGUGAGGAGUACAUCGGAAUCUACUUUUUCGUGGGGGAUAACGUAGGGAAACUUACGCUAAUACCACAUACGACCUACGGGUGAAAGCAGGGGAUCUUCGGACCUUGCGCGAUUGAAUGAGCCGAUGUCGGAUUAGCUAGUUGGCGGGGUAAAGGCCCACCAAGGCGACGAUCCGUAGCUGGUCUGAGAGGAUGAUCAGCCACACUGGAACUGAGACACGGUCCAGACUCCUACGGGAGGCAGCAGUGGGGAAUAUUGGACAAUGGGCGCAAGCCUGAUCCAGCCAUACCGCGUGGGUGAAGAAGGCCUUCGGGUUGUAAAGCCCUUUUGUUGGGAAAGAAAAGCAGCAGGUUAAUACCCCGCUGUUCUGACGGUACCCAAAGAAUAAGCACCGGCUAACUUCGUG